GCAUAAUCAAUAGUUUUUUAAUUGAAAGCUGGAAUGAAAGGUAGAAUCUAAUAGGAUUGUUUUAUUUAAAAAGUUUGAAAUUAAAUUAAAAGUAAAAAUGCUUUUAUUAAUUUUUAGGACGAGAAGACCCUAGAAGCUUUAAAAAUUGGACUAAUUUUUUUGGUUGGGGUAACUUGUGAAGAUAAAUAUUUUUAUAUAAGGAUCAUUAAAUAGAAGACAAAGAAGUUACUCUAGGGAUAACAGCGUUAUUUGAUUAGCAAGUUCUUAUUAAUAAUUAAGUUUGCGACC
rnacentral:rRNA from 1 species